GCCCGUCUAGCUCAGUUGGUAGAGCGCAAGGCUCUUAACCUUGUGAUUGUGGGUUCGAGCCCCACGGUGGGCG
rnacentral:tRNA from 2 species